rnacentral:rRNA from 1 species
CCGUAGCCCAAGAGAUCGGGAUAACACCUGGAAACAGAUGCUAAUACCGGAUAACAACAGAUGAUGCCUAUCAACUGUUUAAAAGAUGGUUCUGCUAUCACUCUUGGAUGGACCUGCGGUGCAUUAGCUAGUUGGUAGGGUAACGGCCUACCAAGGCGAUGAUGCAUAGCCGAGUUGAGAGACUGAUCGGCCACAUUGGGACUGAGACAACGGCCCAAACUCCUACGGGAGGCAGCAGAU